rnacentral:rRNA from 2 species
UGAGGCUUUCGGACUGGCCUAAGGAGAGUGGCAACACUCACCUAGGGCCGGAAAGUUGUUCAAACUUGGUCAUUUAGAGGAAGUAAAAGUCGUAACAAGGUCUCCGUAGGUGAACCUGCGGAGGGAUCAUUA